rnacentral:rRNA from 1 species
CCCUUAGAUGCUCUGGGCCGCACGCGCGCUACACUGGUCGAUGCAACGAGUUUCUUUCCUUGGCCGACAGGCCUGGGCAAUCUUUGAACAUCGAUCGUGAUCGGGAUAGAUUCUUGUAAUUUUUGAUCUUAAACGAGGAAUUCCUAGUAAACGCAAGUCAACAGCUUGCAUUGAUUACGUCCCUGCCCUUUGUACACACCGCCCGUCGCACCUACCGAUUGAAUGGUCCGGUGAAAUCUCGGGACGGCGGCUUGGUCGCUUGCGUCCGACUGCUGAAACUUGAUUAAACCAUAUCAUUUAGAGGAAGGUGAAGUCGUANCA